UGCGAUGAGUCGAGAGACCACACAGCAAUUUGCUGUUCGCGCAAGCGACUAAGGUGGUAUUUUGAGCGGGACACAUUUUAAGCACGGAUUUGUGGUGUCUGACUUCGAUGGAUUGUGGAGUCU
rnacentral:ncRNA from 19 species